rnacentral:lncRNA from 1 species
CUUAGAUGAACCGAAGUUGGUCAUUUUGCGCUCGGAGCAGCUCUGCGUGGUGUUGCACCAACCUCCUCCCUGAGAUAUAUCAGUGGAAAAUCAGCUAUACAUAACAGCUUGAUACAAUUGGAAGAGAGCAUUCGGUCACCUCAAGGAAGACGAGCCAGUUGUGAGCUCCGGAACCGAAUCCUCUCCGAAGGUGGUAACCAGGCGGGGUCCCAUCCAAGCACACUGCAACGCGAUGAAGCAGGCCACGGCGAUCAGUAUCCGGCUCCAGACGUGCCGCCGAUCGGAAAGAAAAAGGAGGCUACGGUUAGUUUGACCGAAUACCCGCUCCCUUCCCCCGAGCGCCGGCGAGGAGUGUCAAGUCAACGAGCCUCGAUGAGCUGGCCGGUGCCGCCACCGGUGAGCGGGAGAAGGCGACAGCGGCCAGGAGGAGCGCGUGCAGGGGCGCGGCCACGACGACGGCGAGAGCGCGUCGACGCUGCUGGUGCGGGAUGAGCGGCGACAGUAGCUCGGUGGCCAUGACCGUCGCGCGCGGGAGGAGCUAGUAGCUAGAGGAAAAGUGUGGAAGCCAUGCUUGAAAGCCCGAACCCACCUACUACCAUGCCAUGCCAUGCCAGUUUGCGAGAAGUAUCAGGCUGGAAGAGGUCAAACUGAUGCGCAGUUUCUCCAGAAAAAAAAAACAGAUGGUUGAGUGGUUCCAAACUACUAUAUGCAGUAUAGAAAUCGUUGGUGUGCCAAUCGAGAGUGACGAAUUACGACAAGCUACGGUCCUCCUGUUUUCAGACAUGUGGUUCAACUCCGAUCUUUCUUGCCGAGAUUCUUACCAUGUCGGACCCCGAAUCUCCUGACGGGCGACGAGACGACAGAAAUCAGAAUUGCAGUCCCGUUCUGCUCCUGGAGGCCCCGCCCGCGGCUUCGCCAUGGAGACGCGCGGCAAGCGGCUCCUCUUCCC